CGGGUUGACCGGGUGAUCGCGCUUCGGCAGCGACCGAAGUGAGGAAAGUCCGCGCUCCACAGGGGACGAUGCCGGCUAACGGCCGGGCGGGGUAACCCGACGGCAAGUGCAACAGAAAGCAGACCGCCUCGCGCUGCGCGGGGUAAGGGUGAAACGGUGGUGUAAGGGACCACCGGCACGAACAGUAAUGUUCGUGGCCGGGCAAACCCCAUCGGGAGCAAGGCCAAGCAGGUGCAUUGGAGCGCCCCGUUCCGCAAAAAGCACCGGGUGAGCUGCUCGACCCGUAGAGUAAUCUGCGGGCUAGAUAGAUGAUCGCCACCUCAGCAAUGAGGGACAGAACGCGGCUUAUAGGUCAACCCGGAUU
rnacentral:RNase_P_RNA from 1 species